ensembl:lncRNA
UGAUGAUAAUGAUAAUAACAAUGAUAAUAAUAAUAUUAAUGAUAAUAAUAAUAAUGAUAAUAAUACAGUAAUCUACAGUGAAAGCAGAGCAGAGGGCUGAAGACAUUGGAAGCAGGCUGAUAAGACAUCUACUGGUAAACACAUAGGGGACACUGUUAAUACAACUGAAGGUAUUAUAGGACUGCUGUUUGAAUAUCAAUGAACAUCAUAUGAUUUUGGAAUAUGGACUAAUAUCUAAUUAAUCUUGGUCAAUGACAUCAUCCUUCAACACUGGUUAAUGAAAGAUCUAACGGAGUUCAUGUAUGAUUGAUGUUGUGUGGUUUACCUCAACAGAGACCUAAAAGGACAUGGACAUGAAGCCUCUGAUGAUUCUCCUCCUGCUAGCAGGUAAUACACUGUGUUUGAGUUUAGCCCCUGUAGCAGCUGGUACCACCACCUCUCUUGCAACAGCUGUCACUACCACCACCCCUGCAGCAGCUGUCACCACCACCACCCCUGCAGCACCUGUCACCACCACCGCCCCUGCAGCACCUGUCACUACCACCACCCCUGCAGCAGCUGUCACCACCACCACCCCUGCAGCAGCUGUCACCACCACCGCACCUGCAGCAGCUGGCACCACCACCACUACUCCUGCAGCAGCUGUCACCACCACUGCUCCUGCAGCAGCUUUCACCACCACCGCUCCUGCAGCAGCUGGUACCACCACCACUCCUGCAGCAGCUGUCACCACCACCACUCCUCCAGCAGCUGGUACCACCACCACUCCUGCAGCAGCUGUCACCACCACCACUCCUCCAGCAGCUGUCACCACCACCACUCCAGUAGCAGCUGUCACCACCACCACUCCUGCAGCUGCUGUUACUAUCACCACUCCUCCAGCAGCUGUCACCACCACCACUCCAGUAGCAGCUGUCACCACCACCACUCCUGCAGCAGCUGUCACCACCACCACUCCUGCAGCAGCUGUCACCACCACCACUCCUGCAGCAGCUGUCACCACCACCACUCCUGCAGCAGCUGUCACCACCACCACUCCAGUAGCAGCUGUCACCACCACCACUCCUGCAGCAGCUGUCACCACCACCACUCCAGUAGCAGCUGUCACCACCACCACUCCUGCAGCAGCUGUCACCACCACCACUCCUGCAGCAGCUGUCACCACCACCACUCCUGCAUCAGCUGUCACCACCACCACUCCUGCAGCAGCUGUCACCACCACCACUCCUGCAGCAGCUGUCACCACCACCACUCCUGCAUCAGCUGUCACCACCACCACUCCUGCAGCAGCUGUCCCCACCACCACUCAGACAGCAGCUGUCACCACCACCAAUCCUGCAGCAGCUGGUACCACCACCACUCCUGCAGCAGCUGGUACCACCACCACUCCUGCAGCAGCUGUCACUACCACCACUCCUGCAGCAGCUGGUACCACCACCACCACUCUUGCAGCAGCUGGUACCACCACCACUCCUGCAGCAGCUGUCACCACCACCACUCCUCCAGCAGCUGUCACCACCACCACUCCUGCAGCAGCUGGUACCACCACCACUCCUGCAGCAGCUGGUACCACCACCACUCCUGCAGCAGCUGUCACUACCACCACUCCUGCAGCAGCUGGUACCACCACCACCACUCUUGCAGCAGCUGGUACCACCACCACUCCUGCAGCAGCUGGUACCACCACCACUCCUGCAGCAGCUGUCACUACCACCACUCCUCCAGCAGCUGGUACCACCACCACUCCUGCAGCAGCUGGUACCACCACCACCACUCUUGCAGCAGCUGGUACCACCACCACUCCUGCAGCAGCUGGUACCACCACCACCACUCUUGCAGCAGCUGUCACUACCACAACUCCUGCAGCAGCUGGUACCACCACCACUCCUGUAGCAGCUGGUACCACCACCACCACUCUUGCAGCAGCUGGUACCACCACCACUCCUGCAGCAGCUGGUACCACCACCACUCCUGCAGCAGCUGUCACUACCACCACUCCUGCAGCAGCUGGAACCACCACCACUCCUGUAGCAGCUGGUACCACCACCACCACUCUUGCAGCAGCUGGUACCACCACCACUCCUGCAGCAGCUGGUACCACCACCACUCCUGCAGCAGCUGUUACCACCACCACUCCUUCAGCAGCUGGUACAACCACCACUCCUGCAGCAGCUGGUACCACCACCACCACUCUUGCAGCAGCUGGUACCACCACCACUCCUGCAGCAGCUGGUACCACCACCACCACUCUUGCAGCAGCUGGUACCACCACCACCACUCCUUCAGCAGCUGGUACCACCACCACUCCUUCAGCAGCUGGUACCACCACCACUCCUGCAGCAGCUGGUACCACCACCACUCCUGUAGCAGCUGGUACCACCACCACCACUCUUGCAGCAGCUGGUACCACCACCACUCCUGCAGCAGCUGUUACCACCACCACUCCUUCAGUAGCUGGUACCACCACCACUCUUGCAGCAGCUGGUACCACCACCACUCCUGCAGCAGCUGGUACCACCACCACUCCUACAGCAGCUGUCACUACCACCACUCCUGCAGCAGCUGGAACCACCACCACUCCUGUAGCAGCUGGUACCACCACCACCACUCUUGCAGCAGCUGGUACCACCACCACUCCUGCAGCAGCUGGUACCACCACCACUCCUGCAGCAGCUGUUACCACCACCACUCCUUCAGCAGCUGGUACAACCACCACUCCUGCAGCAGCUGGUACCACCACCACCACUCUUGCAGCAGCUGGUACCACCACCACUCCUGCAGCAGCUGGUACCACCACCACCACUCUUGCAGCAGCUGGUACCACCACCACCACUCCUUCAGCAGCUGGUACCACCACCACUCCUUCAGCAGCUGGUACCACCACCACUCCUGCAGCAGCUGGUACCACCACCACUCCUGUAGCAGCUGGUACCACCACCACCACUCUUGCAGCAGCUGGUACCACCACCACUCCUGCAGCAGCUGUUACCACCACCACUCCUUCAGUAGCUGGUACCACCACCACUCCUGCAGCAGCUGGUACCACCACCACCACUCUUGCAGCAGCUGGUACCACCACCACUCCUGCAGCAGCUGGUACCACCACCACUUCUGCAGCAGCUGGUACCACCACCACCACUCUUGCAGCAGCUGGUACCACCACCACUUCUGCAGCAGCUGGUACCACCACCACCACUCUUGCAGCAGCUGGUACCACCACCACUCCUGCAGCAGCUGGUACCACCACCACUCCUUCAGCAGCUGGUACGACCACCACUCCUGCAGCAGCUGGUACCACCACCACCACUCUUGCAGCAGCUGGUACCACCACCACUCCUGCAGCAGCUGGUACCACCACCACUCCUGCAGCAGCUGGUACCACCACCACCACUCCUGCAGCAGCUGGUACCACCACCACUCCUGUAGCAGCUGGUACCACCACCACCACUCUUGCAGCAGCUGGUACCACCACCACUCCUGUAGCAGCUGGUACCACCACCACCACUCUUGCAGCUGCUGGUACCACCACCACUCCUGUAGCAGCUGGUACCACCACCACUCCAGUAGCAGCUGUCACCACCGCAGCUUCGGCAGCAACCACUUCCUCUGCUGUCGCAUCACCUGACCCUCCAUCUUCUAGUGAAGGAACAAUGAGUCUUCAGUUCAGUCUCAACCAGACGUUCACCAUUAAUGCCAUCUCUAAUGCCCUGUUUUCAUUGAACCGUUGA